GUGGGGAAUCUUGCGCAAUGGGCGAAAGCCUGACGCAGCCAUGCCGCGUGAAUGAUGAAGGUCUUAGGAUUGUAAAAUUCUUUCACCGGGGGCGAUAAUGACGGUACCCGGAGAAGAAGCCCCGGCUAACUUCGUGCCAGCAGCCGCGGUAAUACGAAGGGGGCUAGCGUUGCUCGGAAUUACUGGGCGUAAAGGGCGCGUAGGCGGAUCGUUAAGUCAGGGGUGAAAUCCCAGAGCUCAACUCUGGAACUGCCCUUGAUACUGGCGAUCUUGAGUGUGAGAGAGGUAUGUGGAACUCCGAGUGUAGAGGUGAAAUUCGUAGAUAUUCGGAAGAACACCAGUGGCGAAGGCGACAUACUGGCUCAUUACUGACGCUGAGGCGCGAAAGCGUGGGGAGCAAACAGGAUUAGAAACCCCGGUAGUCC
rnacentral:rRNA from 1 species